rnacentral:rRNA from 1 species
UAAGCCCUACGGAGGCAGCAGUAGGGAAUUUUCGUCAAUGGGCGCAAGCCUGAACGAGCAAUGCCGCGUGAACGAGGAAGGUCUUCGGAUCGUAAAGUUCUGUUGAAGGGGAAAACGAGCGGAGAGAGGAAAUGAACUCCGAUUGAUAUUACCCUUCGAGGAAGUCACGGCUAACUACGUGCCAGCAGCCGCGGUAAUACGUAGGUGGCGAGCGUUAUCCGGAAUGAUUGGGCGUAAAGGGUGCGUAGGCGGCCUGCUAAGUCUGGAAUGAAAGGGACCGGCGCAACCGGUACAGGCUAUGGAAA